GCCGCGAUUCCACAAGCAUCUACUCGGCGCGGUACGGUUCGCCACUAUUGUAUCUGACUCGGCUCGUCUCGGUUUAGUUGUUUUUCCAUAUAGCCUCAUCGUGGGUGGAGUCGUCAUAGCGCAGCGAGCCGAAAGUCCCUUAACGUCAUUUGCGUGCGACACAAACGCAACAUAACGGAGACGAUGGUUCACCUGCUGCUCGGUCUGUGGCUUUCUGUCAGAUUCAGAGUAAUAGAAGAGUCGGAGAAAGCUGAGAGCGGCGAGUCGGAACACAGGAGACACACAGGAGAGUUUGGGAGGCGAUGCAGCAGUAUCAAGCUGAAGACAAGAGGAUAUGAACGAGACGACAUAUGAGGAUGCUCUCUGAUGAGACUUCAUGGGAUUUACCUGAAGCAGCAGCACAUGAGCCUGCAGUGGCACAAGGUGUAGAGGAGGAGGGCAGAGAUGUACAGGAUGCACUGAUGCAGUACAUGUCAUGCAAAAGUUAUUCUUCUCGUUAUACUUCCGUUUUUCUGUCCCCGGACCGCUAUCGUUUUCUUUAAUGCAAUUCUGACAAUAAACUUUUGUACCUUUUGCA